CCGGAGACGGAAUCUGAGACAAGAUUCCGGGCCCUACGGGGCGCAGCAGGCGCGAAACCUUUACACUGCACGCCAGUGCGAUAAGGGGAUCCCGAGUGCACAGGCAUAGAGCCUGUGCUUUUCUGAACCGUAGGGAAGUUCAGGAACAAGAGCUGGGCAAGACCGGUGCCAGCCGCCGCAGUAAUACCGGCAGCUCGAGUGAUGGCCGAUCUUAUUGGGCCUAAAGCGUCCGUAGCUGGCCUUGCAGGUCCGUCGGGAAAUCCACCCGCUCAACGGGUGGGCGUCCGGCGGAAACUGUGAGGCUUGGGACCGGGAGGCUUGAAGGGUACGUCCGGGGUAGGAGUGAAAUCCCGUAAUCCUGGACGGACCGCCGAUGGGGAAACCACUUCAAGAGAACGGAUCCGACAGUGAGGGACGAAAGCUAGGGUCUCGAACCGGAUUAGAUACCCGGGUAGUCCUAGCUGUAAACGAUGCCUGUUAGGUGUGACUCCCACUACGAGUGGGUGUUGUGCCGUAGGGAAGCCGCUAAACAGGCCGCCUGGGAAGUACGUCUGCAAGGAUGAAACUUAAAGGAAUUGGCGGGGGAGCACUACAACCGGAGGAGCCUGCGGUUUAAUUGGACUCAACGCCGGACAUCUCACCAGCAUCGACUGUGGUAAUGACGGUCAGGUUGAUGACCUUACCCGAGCCACAGAGAGGAGGUGCAUGGCCGCCGUCAGCUCGUACCGUGAGGCGUCCUGUUAAGUCAGGCAACGAGCGAGACCCGCAUCCUUACUUGCCAGCAGCACCGUGAGGUGGCUGGGGACAGUAGGGAGACCGCCGUGGCUAACACGGAGGAAGGAACGGGCAACGGUAGGUCAGUAUGCCCCGAAUAUGCUGGGCAGCACGCGGGCUACAAUGGCCGAGACAAUGGGUUCCAACGCCGAGAGGCGACGGUAAUCUCAGAAACUCGGUCGUAGUUCGGAUUGUGGACUGAAACUCGUCCACAUGAAGCUGGAUUCGGUAGUAAUCGCGUGUCAGAA
rnacentral:rRNA from 1 species